rnacentral:tRNA from 1 species
GCCAACUUAGCUCACCUGGUAGAGCAACGCACUCGUAACGCGUAGGUAGCAGGUUCAAGUCCUGUAGUUGGCACCA